GGCAGAGCUGCAGGUCACUGCGCUCGUGUGAACCACGGUAAACAUGUAGAGAAACAGAGCCGGGGGUCUGUCAGAAUGACGGUCGCGAUAAAGAACAGUGAAUCAGACCAUCAGGCUGAGCGUGUGGAUUGUGAAGCUGCAGCAUGGUGGAGCUUUUCUCUCCUCCUCUCAGUUUGUUGUGGUUCGGGUCGGACGGGGACGCGCUGCAGCGCUGUAAAAUGCUGGAUGUGGAUUACCAGAUAAAACACAUGUGAACAAGGAAGUGCUGGGUGUAGAUGUCACGCUGUGUGUAGUAGCCAGUUGCAAAGUUGCAGGUCCUUAUUAUUCCAGAAGGAUGACUGCAAUCAAAUCCAUUGUUCUGUGAGAACCUGUUGGUUCAGCUUGUAACGAACUAACACUCCUGUCGACAGGUAUGGAUGUCCCUGGACAGAAGUACUUCACUACUAUUGACUUUGUACUGUUUGCCCUCCUUCUUGUGGCCUCCAUGGCCAUAGGGGUCUACUAUGCCCUCUCUGGAGGACGGCAGAGAACCACUCAAGAAUUCCUGUUGGCUGACCGGAGCAUGAAGUGCCUGCCCCUUUCACUGUCUCUCAUGGCCACUUUCCAGUCAGCUGUCGCUAUAGUCGGCACACCAGCUGAAGUGUACACCAAUGGCACGCAGUACUGGUUCAUAGGCUGCUCCUACAUUCUGGGACUCCUCAUACCUGCCCACAUUUUCAUUCCAGUAUUUUACAGACUGAAUCUCACAAGUGCUUACCAGUAUCUGGAACUACGUUUUUGUAAAACGGUUCGUAUCUGUGGAACAGUUACAUUUAUUUUUCAAAUGGUCAUUUACAUGGGUGUUGGUGUAUAUACCCCUGCCCUUGCACUACAUGCAGUAACUGGUUUUCACUUAUGGGGAGCAGUGUUAGCAACUGGACUAGUGUGCACAGUGUACACAGCCCUGGGUGGAUUGAAGGCAGUGAUCUGGACAGAUGUGUUUCAGACAGUGGUGAUGUUCACAGGCCAGAUGGCUGUCAUCAUAGUGGGUGUGCACCAAGUGGGUGGUUUUUCAGAUUUUUGGAGGAAAGUCACAGACGGAGGCCGCAUCUCAGGCAUUGACCUAAAUCCAGACCCAACAGUGAGGCACACCUUUUGGACAUUGGCGGUUGGUGGAGUGUUUCUGAUGCUGUCUUUGUAUGGAGUGAACCAGGCACAAGUGCAGAGAUACCUCAGCUCUCGGACUGAGAAAGAGGCUAUAAUGUCAUGCUACAUGGCAUUUCCUUGUCUUCAGAUUGCGUUGGGUCUAAGCUGCCUAAUGGGCCUUGUUAUGUUUGCAUGUUAUGGUGAUAUCAACCUUGUAGACCAACAGUACAUCAAAUCUAAAGACCAGAUGGUCCUGUACUUUGUCAUGGAUAUGCUGCAGGACUUCCCUGGACUGCCUGGAUUGUUUGUUGCUUGCUUAUUCAGUGCAUCUUUAAGCACAAUAUCUUCAGCUUUCAAUUCCUUGGCCACAGUAACAAUGGAGGACCUGAUCAAGCCAAAUUAUCCUUCUAUAACAGAUUCUAGAGCCACCUUACUGUCCAAGAUACUUGCUUUUUCAUAUGGACUUGUCUGUCUUGCUAUGGCCUACAUUGUCCAUUUGAUGAACAGUUCUGUUUUGCAGGCAGCACUCAGUAUCUUCGGUAUGCUAGGAGGACCCUUGCUGGGUCUCUUCUGUCUUGGGAUAUUUUUCCCUUGGGCCAACAGCUCUGGUGCUGUGACGGGCCUGAUUGCUGGUCUGGUCAUGGCGUUCUGGGUUGGCAUUGGUGGAUUUGUGGCUCAGAUGUCAAGCAGUGUCACUGUUUGUCCCCAUAACUGCACUGAUACAGUAGCAACAAAAAAUCUUACCAUGGCUACAGUGACCGCUAUCAUGACUCCAGUCACCAAUAAACCAAGGUAACACACAGACACAAUAAACCAAGUAACACACAGACACAAUAACCCAAGUAACACACAGACACAAUAAACCAAGGCAACACACAGACACAAUAAACCAAGGUAACACACAGACACAAUAAACCAAGCAACACACAGACACAAUAAACCAAGGUAACACACAGACACAAUAAACCAAAGUAACACACAGACACAAUAACCCGAGGUAACACACAACCCUGAUUACUUCUGCUCUGAAAUCUGUGACCAGUAAUAAAGAUUUACUGAAAACAGUAAAAAAUAAUAAGUAAGUAAAAUAAAUAUUAAACAAAUACUUAUAGAAUAAAGAAAGAAAGGCUUACCAUGGUACUAAUGGCAUGUAAGGUGUAUUAAACCCAAUGAUUUUAAAAUAAUGCUAUUGCUGUGUCCAGUGUGCCAUAAGAGGGCAGUAUUACCACAAUUUGCAAAUGACUGUAAAUCUGUGAAUCCAGGAUCCAAAACCAUAAUAAAAAAAAAAAUAGCUCUAAGUUUAUUUUUAAAACUUUAACUUACAACACAGUUACUGUUAAUAACUUUUAUUUGAAUCAUUAUUUAAUUUAAACUGUUGUUGAAUCCUUACCUUAGAUUUGAACAUUCUCAAUAAAAAUGUAAAAAUAAACUUUGCUUUUUUUUAAAUUCAUUAAUACACUACAAUACUCAUAUUUGUUAAAUACUUAAUCUGUAAAUUCCCUAUGAUAAACUAAGGCCAAAUAAAGUUAGGCUAAUAUUAACAAAUAGAGUAGAGGAUAGCGGAAAAAAGAUCCAGUAUUCAAAACAGGAACAAAUCCCCCACCAAACAGCAGAAUUACAAUAAACAAAUAGUUAUGCAAAGUAUGACCAAAGACACAGCAGCAUUUAGAUGGUGGAUAGAGAGUUUUUUAGUAAUAUAAAAUCAUACAGCAGCACUGGCCCUUUUGUUAAUAAAAUUGGACAAAAUGUUCAAUGUGUCAUGUAUAUUUAUAAGACAAGUGUGCCAGAAGCACAUACAUCGUUCAUGCAAGGGUUGAAUUUUUCUUAAAUAUGUUGGGGGAAAUGAUGAUUGACUGGUCAUAUGCAUUUAAUAAAUAUCUAGACUUGAGAACUCAGUUUUAAAAAAUGGCAUUGGGUAAUAAAAGUUUAAUAUUUUACCCUAGUUUUAGUCCUAUUUGUGAAAUACUUUGCCUGUUCUAUUUUUUUUUUUUUGUAUUUGUGGUAUUUUUGUCAUUUUCAUAUAAGUUGGCUUUUCCAGCUCUUGCUUCUGAGUGGGAUGCUGAUUUCUGUUGUAAAGGGACACGACAGCAACUUUUUGUACCACGUUUUU